CCUGAGUAGCUAGGAUUACAAACAUGAGCCACCAGUGCCUGGCCUGGCUGGAUGAAUGUCUUUCUUCUGAAGUUUUGUAUAUUUUUUGUCUUUCUUCUGAAGUUUUGUAUAUUUUUGUUCAGUUCUGCACUUAACAAGCUUUACUUAGAAUCUUCCCUGGUAGAAAACUCUGUCCAGUUCCAUUUCACAGAUGAGGACACCAGUUCCACUGAAGCAAAGAUACUUAGCUGAGAUCACAGCUAGACACAAUUCUCCCAAUGCCUAGAUUUUUACAGAUUCAUGAGAAAAGUUAUACAAGUCCUGAACUUUAUAACCAAUCACCAUCAGAAUUCUCCUGCUUUAAUGAUUGUGUAAAGUGGUUUCAAAAAAGGUGAGUGAAACUUCUGAUACAGUCAGAGUGAACUUUCCCUCAUCCUUGUGUGUGGGUGGGGGGUGGGGGGGUAUGUGACUAAUUACUAUCUACGACCUUGCACUGUUGCUAGUAUUUCUGGUCACUUGCCACCCAAGUGAAGCUACAAAUAUGAGAUGAGGCAGAACCUGAAACAACGUCCUAAAAUGAUUGAUUAGAGGCCAGAUUCAAGUGAUAAAUGGACCGUGUGAUGAUUAAAAUGUGGGGUAUGCUGGUUCCUUUAGUCAAAUUUCCGAUGUUUCAUUCUGUUGUGUAUAUAUACAUUUUUUUUUUCACUGAACUCAAAAUUUUUGCAUGAGGAUAAUUCAGGAAUAGCAUGUUGAAAACUGAAAAUUUUAAAUAAUCAGGCACAGCUGACUCUCCUUUAUAUCAUAAAUCAAUUAUAAACCAAAUUUUAUUUCAUUCACUGCUUUCCAUUUGCAUUAUCAUCCUCCUCCUCAUUAUUAUUACUAUUAUUACUAUUAUUAAAAUCAAGGUCAGCAAAUUGAACAAUGGAACAAUUUUGGCUUCUCUCCUUUUUCUAUUCAUCUAUGAUGAAAUGACUCCAAAAGUUACUAACUCAUAGACUGUCCAUGAAAUUUAGUUUUAAUAUGAAAUCCUAUUCAUGCUGAAUAUUGUUUGACUAUGGUGGAACAUGUUUUAUAUGACAUUAGUAAGGUCUGAAGAACAUUUAAACAUCAGGAAGGUUAUCUUUGCCAUGGAAUAAGGACAAGUCUGCUUUUUACCCUGGUCACAAGCUAUUCCUCUACACAGUAAUAGAUUCUGUUCCAAGAAUUUCUUUGGCCUCAAACAAGGCUCAGAGCGGAUACAGUCAAUAAUGGCCAAGGGGCCAAUAUCCUUCUCCAAAGAGCUCGAUUACUGACACAGAUGAGAAAACAAUUACAAAUGCAAAUGCAAGAGAUACUUCCCCAUAAUCAAAUGCCUUCCCUGUAUAAUGAACAAAGUUCAAAUCUGUUUACCUAGUUUGUGAUCUUCCAAGAACCUGUACAAAUACCCGGAUGAAGUCAAUAAAAGAUUUUUUGUCUGAGACCCACAGAUUCUGAGCAUACUUCUUUCUUUUUUUUUUUUUUUUUUACAAGUUUUAU